rnacentral:misc_RNA from 1 species
GAAAUGCGAUAAGUAAUGUGAAUUGCAGAAUUCAGUGAAUCAUCGAAUCUCUGAACGCACAUUGCGCCCGCCAGUAUUCUGGCGGGCAUGCCUGUCCGAGCGUCAUUUCAACCAUCAAGCCCCCGGGCUUGUGUUGGGGACCUGCGGCUGCCCGCAGGCCCUGAAAACCAGUGGCGGGCUCGCUGUCACACCGAGCGUAGUAGCAAUCACCUCGCUCAGGGCGUGCUGCGGGUUCCGGCCGUUAAACAGCCUUACAAAACCCAAGGUUGACCUCGGAUCAGGUAGGAAGACCCGCUGAACUUAAGC